UACGUAGGGGGCAAGCGUUGUCCGGAUUUAUUGGGGUUAAAGGGUGCGUAGGCGGCUUUGUAAGUCAGUGGUGAAAUAUGGCAGCUCAACUGUCAAGGUGCCAUUGAUACUGCGGAGCUUGAGUACAGAUGAGGUAGGCGGAAUUGACGGUGUAGCGGUGAAAUGCUUAGAUAUCGUCAAGAACACCGAUAGCGAAGGCAGCUUACUAGGCUGUAACUGACGCUGAGGCACGAAAGUGUGGGGAUCAAACAGG
rnacentral:rRNA from 1 species